GAUUAUUUAUGUAAUUUUCGAUUUAAUCUUGUCUAAAUUUUUUUUUUUCCUUUUUAUGCUUACACGGUUACAGCGGCAUCGAAAGAUGGUUGAACCACAAAUCAAAGAUCAUUUGUUGGGUUAUGAAGGUGGAUGUGAGUUAAAUACCGGUGAAAUAAUUGAAUCAGAUUCACAACUUGUUUAUCAUCAUGAUAUAAUCACAAUAUAGCACAUAGUCUAU
rnacentral:lncRNA from 1 species